rnacentral:rRNA from 1 species
GAGCUUGCUCUCGGGUGACGAGUGGCGGACGGGUGAGUAAUGUCUGGGAAACUGCCUGAUGGAGGGGGAUAACUACUGGAAACGGUAGCUAAUACCGCAUAACGUCGCAAGACCAAAGAGGGGGACCUUCGGGCCUCUUGCCAUCAGAUGUGCCCAGAUGGGAUUAGCUAGUAGGUGGGGUAACGGCUCACCUAGGCGACGAUCCCUAGCUGGUCUGAGAGGAUGACCAGCCACACUGGAACUGAGACACGGUCCAGACUCCUACGGGAGGCAGCAGUGGGGAAUAUUGCACAAUGGGCGCAAGCCUGAUGCAGCCAUGCCGCGUGUAUGAAGAAGGCCUUCGGGUUGUAAAGUACUUUCAGCGGGGAGGAAGGUGUUGUGGUUAAUAACCGCAGCAAUUGACGUUACCCGCAGAAGAAGCACCGGCUAACUCCGUGCCAGCAGCCGCGGUAAUACGGAGGGUGCAAGCGUUAAUCGGAAUUACUGGGCGUAAAGCGCACGCAGGCGGUCUGUCAAGUCGGAUGUGAAAUCCCCGGGCUCAACCUGGGAACUGCAUUCGAAACUGGCAGGCUAGAGUCUUGUAGAGGGGGGUAGAAUUCCAGGUGUAGCGGUGAAAUGCGUAGAGAUCUGGAGGAAUACCGGUGGCGAAGGCGGCCCCCUGGACAAAGACUGACGCUCAGGUGCGAAAGCGUGGGGAGCAAACAGGAUUAG